rnacentral:rRNA from 1 species
UACGAACUGUGCAAACGUUAUUCGGAAUCACUGGGCUUAAAGGGUGCGUAGGCGGCUGUCUAAGUAGGGUGUGAAAGCCCCCGGCUCAACCGGGGAAUUGCGCCCUAAACUGGACGGCUGGAGUGAGGCAGGGGUGUGUGGAACUUCCGGUGGAGCGGUGAAAUGUGUUGAUAUCGGAAGGAGCGCCGGUGGCGAAAGCGACACACUGGGUCUCAACUGACGCUGAGGCACGAAAGCCAGGGGAGCAAACGGG